UUCCAUACAGCUGUUCAUCACCAAGGAA
rnacentral:piRNA from 1 species